rnacentral:lncRNA from 1 species
UUCCACACAAAUUUUGAGUCUACUCUUAUUCUUCUAAUAUAAAAGCACAAUAAAUAUAGCUCAUCCUUUUACUGCAAUAUUUUAGCUAUCGUUUGAUUUGGGGUUAAGAAAAAACCAGUUAUUCCAGAGAUAGAGUUAAAUUCAGGAUUAAUAUAGGGUUAGAGUAUUUUUGUAUUUGGUUGGGGGUUGGAGUUAGUUCAGAAUAGUGAAAAAUAGUAUUUGGUUGGAGUAAGUGGGAUAAGAAAGAUAGUCGGUUAUUAUGAAUAGAAAAUUAUAUUUGGUUGGGGUUUGGUGGGGUUAGAUGAGGUUAGCUAACCCGGAAUAGCAUAUUUGAGGUGGGAUUAGCUAACUCCACCCAUUUUUAGGGUGUUUGGAGAUAAUAUGGGGGUUAAGUGGUUAUUCCAUCCUUAAUCCCCAACCAAACAAAAGCUUAUUUGUAUGUAAAAAAAAA